UACGAAGGGGGCUAGCGUUGCUCGGAAUUACUGGGCGUAAAGGGCGCGUAGGCGGAUAGUUUAGUCAGGGGUGAAAUCCCAGAGCUCAACUCUGGAACUGCCUUUGAUACUGGGUGUCUUGAGUAUGGAAGAGGUGAGUGGAAUUCCGAGUGUAGAGGUGAAAUUCGUAGAUAUUCGGAGGAACACCAGUGGCGAAGGCGGCUCACUGGUCCAUUACUGACGCUGAGGUGCGAAAGCGUGGGGAGCAAACAGG
rnacentral:rRNA from 1 species